UGGCCUACGGGGGGCAGCAGUGGGGAAUCUUCCGCAAUGGGCGAAAGCCUGACGGAGCAACGCCGCGUGAUCGAAUGAAGGCCUUCGGGUUGUAAAGAUCUGUUGACAGGGACGAAUAAGCAAUGCGAAUAGUUUUGUGUAUGACGGUACCUGUUUAGAAAGCUCCGGCUAAAUACGUGCCAGCAGCCGCGGUAAUACGUAUGGUGCAAGCGUUAUCCGGAUUUACUGGGUGUAAAGGGAGCGCAGGCGGCGCGUUAAGCCUGGUGUGAAAGCCCGCGGCCCAACCGCGGGACUGCAUUGGGAAC
rnacentral:rRNA from 1 species